CUCUGCCAUUUUAUCUUUUUUUACUUAUUCUUCUUCAAAACUAUAACAAAUGAAGAGUGGUCGUUUUUCUUAAAUCCAAUUUAUAACACAAGUUAUUCUUGGAAUUUGACUAAGGAUUGUGGCUAGCAUUGAGAAUUUGGAGCUACCUCGAUGUAUUAAGCUAGAAAAAGCUUAUGGGAUGGAGCUAUGGACACAAUGUGGUAUAUAUUGUUGUCCUUGUAUAUAUAUAUCAUGGGCUGGGGUGAUUUGGUGUUAACGUGAAGUUGGUUUUUAUUGAAUUUUUCCCUAGCAUGGUUGCUAAAUUUUUGUGUACAGUCGAAUAACAUUUUUAUGCAAAACACUUGUGUAUGUGAGAUGUAUAUUUUUAUAGUUAACCUCAUUUUGUUAAUGGGAGAUGAGUAUCAAAUCUCCUUGCUUUU